GGGGGGGGGGGGGGAUAAAAAGAAAUUGUGGGGGGUCAAUUUUUUCUCAUUUCAGAUUUCAGAAAUUAAAAAGAAUUAUUCUUCAAAUAUUAUUUUUUUUUCAAAUUUCAAAUAUUGAAAAAUUUCAAGAAGUAAUCUUUAAUUGCACAGUAUGGUGCAUUAGAUUUGUAAAAUCUUUGAUCACAUUUAUUUAUUUGUUAUGCCGAAUCUAACAGUGUAUUUAGAUUUUUAAUUUUAGGUCCAGUUUUCAAAUUGGUCUACAUUAAGGUCCAAAGGGUCCAAAAUUAAACUUUGUUUGAUUUUAGCAAAAAUUGAAUAUAUGAGGUUCUUUGAUAUGCUGAAUCUAACCAUGUAUUUAGAUUUUUUAUUUGUGGACCCCGUUAUCAAAUUGGUUCAUAUUGAGGUCAAAAGGGUCCAAAAUUAAACUUUGUUUGAUUUCAUCUAAAAUUGAAUUAAUGGGGUUCUUUGAUAUUCCAAAUCUAACCGUGUAUUUAGAUUUUUAAUUUUGGGUCCUGUUUUUUAAAUUGGUCUACAUUAAGGUCCAAAGGGUCCAAAAUUAAACUUAGUUUGAUUUUAACAAAAAUUGAAUUCUUGGGGUUCUUUGAUAUGCUGAAUCUAAACAUGUGUUUAGAUUUUUGAAUAUGGGCCCAGUUUUCAAGUUGGUCCAAGAUAGGGUCCAGUAUUUAAACUUUGUUUGAUUUCAACAAAAAUUGAAUAUAUGGGGUUCUUUGAUAUGCUGAAUCUAAACAUGUAUUUAGAUUUUUGAUUAUGGGCCCAGUUUUCAAGUUGGUCCAAAUUGGGGUCCAAAAUUAAACUUUGUUUGAUUUCAACAAAAAUUGAAUAUAUGAGGUUCUUUGAUAUGCUGAAUCUAACCAUGUAUUUAGAUUUUUUAUUUGUGGGACCCGCUAUCAAAUUGGUUCAUAUUGAGGUCAAAAGGGUCCAAAAUUAAACUUUGUUUGAUUUCAUCAAAAAUUGAAUUAUUGGGGUUCUUUGAUAUUCCAAAUCUAACCGUGUAUUUAGAUUUUUAAUUUUAAGUCCCGUUUUUUAAAUUGGUCUACAUUAAGGUCCAAAGGGUCCAAAAUUAAACUUAGUUUGAUUUUAGCAAAAAUUGAAUUAUUGGGGUUCUUUGAUAUGCUGAAUCUAAACAUGUGUUUAGAUUUUUGAUUAUGGGCCCAGUUUUCAAGUUUGUCCAAGUUGGGGUCCAAAAUUAAAAUUUGUUUGAUUUCAACAAAAAUUGAAAAUAUGGGGUUCUUUGAUAUGCUGAAUCUAACCAUGUAUUUUGAUUUUGGACAUAAUAGGUAAAUAAAAAAAAUUCAAGUUCUUAGACCACAUUCUUUCUGUGUCAGAAACCUAUGCUGUGUCAAAUAUUUAAUAACAAUCCAAAUUCAGAGCUGUAUCAAGCUUGAAUGUUGUGUCCAUACUUGCCCCAACUGUUCAGGGUUCGACCUCUGCGGUCGUAUCAAGCUGCGCCCCAGCGAAGCAUUUUAUUUUAUGAAUUAAUAAUUGAUCAUACAGGUUUGUCUGGUAUAAUGUUUAGUAGAAAAAUGGUUGUGAUAUUAAAUACUUUAUACCAUGAGGCCAAAUUAAAUAAAAAGUGAUUCUGGUUUCCCAGCCUACCCUAAUUUUGAGCCCCUAGCUACCCUUAUUUUGAACCCCUAGCUCCUCUAACAUAAAUUUUUUUUCAAGUAAACAUCUUUUAGUCACAAUGUGUCCUAUGUGUUAUAGUGUAUUCUAAAGAAAAGAACUAUCCAAAUAAACAAAAAUCCCUACCUACCAACCCUGUUAUUUUUUAAAAAUAAACAUAAAUAAUAACCGGAAUCACACAUUUAUUCUAUUUGGCCUGAGUGAUUGCUAUUAUAGAUGAAUCCGUAUAAAAGUUUUCAAUUUUAUAAAAAAAAUAUUUUAUUAAGUCCUGACAAUUUGUUGUGUUCAGCUUACUGAAGAUGUCUCUUUCAUUUCACUUGUCCUCACAUUUCAUGAGGUUAUGUUAUAUUUGAUGCUAUAAAUACACAUACAUGUAUGCUUUACCAAUCUUUUCAUUAUGCUAAUAAAGCUGCCACAUUUGGUACGGGUAUAACAAGGCAAACAUUUCAAAAUAAUUAGAAUUUGUCCAUCACAACAAAAAGACUAAAGUGAGAGUGAAGUUAAGAAAUGUCCUUGAUUAACUUUGGUGAUCUGUAAGAAUCACAUUAACAAGGAUCAAUUUAACAGCCAAAAAUAUUACAGCAAUUAAUAAUUUGUCAGGAAUACACCAUCUAGAAAAGAAUGGCAAGUUUACAAAAUCCCAUUUGACAGAUCUAUGGAAAAAAAUGUAUAAAGACAGUCAUGCAAUGUAAUAUCUCCAUGAUUUGAAGUAGUCAAGAGUAACAUAUUUAUAUAUCUUUAUCCUAUAUCUCAAUACCUGAUUUCUAACUUUUUGCAUUAAGCGUACUUGAUGAAUUAUUAUAACACAUUUUCUACUUAGGCUGCUCAUAGCAGAAAUAUUGUUGUCUUUUCAAAGUUAUUGAAGCACUAUCUAUACAUUUUCAUUUAUUUUAUCUAUAUUUAUUAUAACCCUGAUUCAGAUUUAUAGACGUAAUAUAGUUGGUUGUUUAAUAUAGGAAUGAACAUACAUUGUAUACAAGUGUCUAAUAGAGAGAUAAUAUGGAGAUAUAUUUUAUAUAUUAUUAUUUAUUCAGUACAAAAUGUACUUGUAUUUAUAAUAUUCCCUGCAAAUGAUGCACAUUUCUAUAUUUUUUAUUAAUUCAGGUGAGUUUGAAAAUUUUAGUUGUUUCUAGAGAUACUUUUGAAUUUUGAAAACACUAAUGCAUAAUACAGCAUUAGUAUUGAAAUCAAAAAGGACAUUAGAACUCUCAAAAACUUUCUAAAGGUUCUUUUGUGAUAAAAUAACAAUGUGUCUGUAGAAACAGAUCUGAUCACAUAAUUUGUACGAGAAUGUCACUGUCAAAUUCAUUGUAAAGUAAUCAAGUCUACCUUUUUUUAAUAUUUUGUUAGAACAUGAAUAAGAAAAGAGUAAGUUAUUUUCAAAAUAAAAAUAACUAUGGGUUUUGCUCUAUAUAGAACUAAGGUGGAUAGUUGUCUAUGUGGCAUUCAUACCACAUCUCCUUAUUUUAUAGCAAUAGAAAUGCCUGAAGUAUCUUGUAUCUUUCAAGAAUCUGUAUUAUUUGAGUCUUGUUUAAGAAUUUUAAACAAAGUAUGGCUUACUACGCAUGUUAAAUGGGCACUUUUGUGCUUUGGUGUAGAAUACUUCUAUAUUAAUGGAUACAGAACUCCUUUUUCAAGGGAUAUUCAAUUCAAAGAUUUCAGGGAUACAGGGUAUAUCCUAAACAAGGUUACUAUUUAAUAACAUACUUAUACUUUAAAUUGUUUAUUAUUUGUUUAGUUUUAUUUUAGUUUUUUUGCUUACAUCAUUUAUGUUUUAGACUUAAAUAACAAUUUAACUGCUUGUAAAUGUUAAGUUUUAGUAAAUAAACCUUUAAUGUUUUCA